rnacentral:rRNA from 1 species
UAGAGUUUGAUCAUGGCUCAGGAUGAACGUUGGCGGCGUGCCUAAUACAUGCAAGUCGAACGGUGAUAUUUUUGUAGUAAUACGAAUUUAUCAUAGUGGCGAACGGGUGAGUAACGCGUUGGUGAUCUGCCUCGAAGUGUGGAAUAACGUCCCGAAAGGAACGCUAAUGCCGCAUGUGCUCUCGAUUUUUAGAAAGUUGAGAGUAAAGGAUUUAUUCGCUUCGAGAGGAGCCUGCGUCCCAUCAGCUAGUUGGUAAGGUAAUGGCCUACCAAGGCAAUGACGGGUAGGGGACCUGAGAGGGUGGCCCCCCACAAUGGAACUGAAACACGGUCCAUACACCUACGGGUGGCAGCAGUAGGGAAUAUUAGAAAUGGACGAAAGUCUGAUCUAGCGACACCGCGUGUGCGAUGAAGGCCUUCGGGUUGUAAAGCACUUUUUGGAAGGAAUAGGAAGGAAGGUACUUCCAGAAUAAGUCUCGGCUAACUACGUGCCAGCAGCCGCGGUAACACGUAGGAGGCAAACGUUAUCCGGAUUUACUGGGCGUAAAGCGCGUGUAGGUGGUUCUGUAAGUAGGGCGUGAAAGCUCCCGGCUCAACUGGGAGAGGCCGUUCUAAACUGCAGAGCUAGAGGAUGGUAGAGGGGAGGGGGAAUUCCAGGUGUAGCGGUGGAAUGCCCAGAUAUCUGGAGGACACCAGUGGCCGAAGGGGCCUCUGGACCAUUCCUGACCUCAACGCGAAGCUAGGUAGCAAACGGGAUAGAGACCCGGUAGUCCUAGCCUAACGAAGUAACUAAACGC